rnacentral:rRNA from 1 species
UACGGAGGGUGCAAACGUUGCUCGGAAUUAUUGGGCGUAAAGCGCACGUAGGCGGCUUUGCAAGUCGGAUGUGAAAUCCCUCGGCUCAACCAAGGAAGUGCAUCCGAAACUGCAGAGCUUGAGUACUUAAGAGGAUCGCGGAAUUCCCGGUGUAGAGGUGAAAUUCGUAGAUAUCGGGAGGAACACCAGUGGCGAAGGCGGCGAUCUGGGAAGAUACUGACGCUGAGGUGCGAAAGCGUGGGGAGCAAACAGG